GAUGAACGCUGACAGCAUGCUUAACACAUGCAAGUCGAUGGGGAAGUGGUGCUUGCACCAUGGUAACCAUGGCGGACGGGUGAGUAACGCGUAAGGAACUUGCCUGCGGGACUGGGAUAACAGCAGGAAACUGCUGAUAAUACCGGAUAAGGUCAUUAAGCUGCAUAGCUUAGUGAUGAAAGGAGACGCCUGCGGAGAGCCUUGCGUCCUAUUAGCUAGUUGGAGGGGUAACGGCCCACCAAGGCGAAGAUAGGUAGCCGGCCUGAGAGGGUGGACGGCCACAAGGGGACUGAGAUACGGCCCUUACUCCUACGGGAGGCAGCAGUGGGGAAUAUUGGACAAUGGGGGCAACACUGAUCCAGCAAUUCUGUGUGCACGAAGACGGUUUUCGGAUUGUAAAGUGCUUUCAGCAGGGAAGAAGGAAGUGACGGUACCUGCAGAAGAAGCGACGGCUAAAUACGUG
rnacentral:rRNA from 1 species